rnacentral:rRNA from 1 species
AUUGAACGCUGGCGGAAUGCUUUACACAUGCAAGUCGAGCGGCAGCGCGGGGGCAACCCUGGCGGCGAGCGGCGAACGGGUGAGUAAUGCAUCGGAACGUACCCAGUCGUGGGGGAUAACGUGGCGAAAGUCACGCUAAUACCGCAUACGUCCUGAGGGAGAAAGCAGGGGAUCGCAAGACCUUGCGCGAUUGGAGCGGCCGAUGUCUGAUUAGCUAGUUGGUGGGGUAAAGGCCUACCAAGGCGACGAUCAGUAGCUGGUCUGAGAGGACGAUCAGCCACACUGGAACUGAGACACGGCCCAGACUCCUACGGGAGGCAGCAGUGGGGAAUUUUGGACAAUGGGCGAAAGCCUGAUCCAGCCAUUCCGCGUGAGUGAAGAAGGCCUCGG